rnacentral:rRNA from 1 species
GACGAACGCUGGCGGCGUGCUUAACACAUGCAAGUCGAACGGAAAGGCCCUGCUUUUGUGGGGUGCUCGAGUGGCGAACGGGUGAGUAACACGUGAGUAACCUGCCCUUGACUUUGGGAUAACUUCAGGAAACUGGGGCUAAUACCGGAUAGGAGCUCCUGCUGCAUGGUGGGGGUUGGAAAGUUUCGGCGGUUGGGGAUGGACUCGCGGCUUAUCAGCUUGUUGGUGGGGUAGUGGCUUACCAAGGCUUUGACGGGUAGCCGGCCUGAGAGGGUGACCGGCCACAUUGGGACUGAGAUACGGCCCAGACUCCUACGGGCGGCAGCAGUGGGGAAUAUUGCACAAUGGGCGGAAGCCUGAUGCAGCAACGCCGGGUGCGGGAUGACGGCCUUCGGGUGGUAAGCCGCUUUCGCCUGUGACGAAGCGUGAGUGACGGUAAUGGGUAAAGAAGCACCGGCUAACUACGU